GACAGAGGGUGCAAACGUUGUUCGGAUUUACUGGGCGUAAAGCGCGUGUAGGCGGCUUGGCAAGUCGGAUGUGAAAGCCCACGGCUCAACCGUGGAAGCGCAUCCGAAACGGCCUCGCUCGAGUCUCGGAGAGGAAGGUGGAAUGCUUGGUGUAGGGGUGAAAUUCGUAGAUAUCGGGAGGAACACCAGUGGCGAAGGCGGCGAUCUGGACAGAUAUUGACGCUGAGGUGCGAAAGCGUGGGGAGCAAACAGG
rnacentral:rRNA from 1 species